rnacentral:misc_RNA from 1 species
CCGAGUUCAUGCCCUCACGGGUAGACCUCCCACCCUUGCGUAUCUCUACUCUGUUGCUUUGGCAGGUUGCUCGACCCCUCGGGGGACAGCCUCAGCGCCCUCGGGCCUGAGAGUCGCUUGCCGGAGGAAACCCAAACUCUGAAUUGUUAGUGUCGUCUGAGUACUAUACUUUAAUAGUUA